UAUAUUUGAAGCCAUGUGGCCAUACGCGGGAAAUCAGAGUUCAGGAACUUGUGAUUUUCUACUGGUAUCUUCAGAUCAUUCUGGAAAUGCAAGGAGGCUGUGUUUCAAGCUAGGCCGUCUGAUUUUAUAUACAGCCAUGUCAUAGAAAGUGUGUGAUGAAAAGAUGGAUAAACUCUAUCAAAUUUUGUGGUUGUCACCAUUUUAAACAUAACCAUUACUAUAAUGUCACAGUUGUCAUUUGCUUGCAGCUUUUAUACCCAGAGCAGGUCUGUGGAGACUGUGCAUCAGUAACAAAACAUUUAACCAAGUUAAAAUAUUGGAUGUUCAAUCUUAGUGGGGGGCAAGGCCAAUAAGAUUACUCUUUAGGCCAUUUUCACAUUCUGAGUUGGGUUUCUAAGCUUGGAGUGCAGUCUUCAGCAAAUCUCAGAAGGAUUGAUCUGGAUAGCUUUGAUGGAGAACAAAGCAAGGAGCUCUAUCAUUACAUUUUUACUAAGUCACACUUUAAAAACCAUCAUAUAUUUGGGAAAGCUAGUGUAUUCCACUGACAUCUUGUGUGAUAUUUCUUGACCAUUUUUCCUCUUUAUAUUUACUGAAAAGUGAAAUGAGGUUUUCAAUCUUACAUUGGUCUCUUAGAGAGUCAACUGGAUAGAAUGUGGAAAUGGCCUAAAGAGUAAUCUCAUUAGGGCUUAGCCACCCCUAAGAUUGAACAUCCAAUAUUUUGACUUGGUAAAAAGUUUUGUUACUGAUGCUUAGUCUAAAAUCCAGCUCAGCUCUCUCUGUCACAAUUGUAUAGUCUCUGAAUAGCCCACAAGAGCAAAAUGCAAUGAUUUCUUUUUGCCUUUGAUAUGAAUCCAUGUAGGGACUAGUUUUUGGAUAACAAAACACAGUUUUUACUAAGCUACUUUGAAAAGUUGGAUUUCUUUCUAUUAUCAUAAUGAAGUGAUAUACUUUUUUUUUUUCAUUCUCACUGUAUAUAUGAGAGAAUGUUCAUCAGUGAAAACAAAACACAUUUAAAUCUUCAGGCUUCAGUGCUUCCACAAAGAGUAUGAAAAAAAAAAUUGUGGAAAUACUGUUGGAGGCAUUUGUCUUCAUUCUGAAAUAAUAUUGUUGGUGCACAGGAGAGAUUUCAGAUGACUGGUAAAAAGUGAAUGUGGCACACUGUAAAGAAUAAAUUCAAGGAGUUUUGGAUAAUUAUAAGCAUUAUAUAGAUCCUGGGCAAAAUACUAAUGAAAAAAAAUUAUAAAACCAGAAAUAAAUAGAAAUUAAUUCAUAGGUAGUAUCUUAUGUAAUGUUAAAAAAUAUGGUUUUUUGUGUGGAAAAUAGAUGCAUUCAAGCAACAAGAUGAGACUAAAAUACAAUUGCUUAAGAUAGAUGAAUUGAGUUAAUACACAUGAAUUACUUUAACUCAUUUGAUGUAGCCCUGCAUGACAAUCUGGUAAAAAAAAAUGCAGUACUAUACAAAAUCAAUUUACCUAUAUCAAAUGCUCUGGGAACCAAUUAGCAGCUACAUCAGCAUGUUUCUACUCUUUUCUAAUGGGUUAUUUAACAGCUUCAAAGGAGCUAAUACAGCUCAAUAUCUUUAUCAGUGAUCUGGAAGAAAACAUAAACUCUGCUGCUAACUUCACAAAUUACACCAGAAUUGCUGGAAAGGAAAGAAUGGAGAGAACAAAAUUAGAUAAUGGUAUUGAAGAUGCUGCUUCAGAUGCUGAGCAUUAAGCCACUAUUUUAGAAAAGGAUGAAUCUCAAUGUGGAAGAUAACACUAGCUUCUGUCUUCAAAUGUGGGAUCCUCUGAAGCUUCUGCUGCUGACCCAGAGUGAGAGAGAGUAAUUAAUGAAUAGAGACUACCCUCUGAUCCACUGGUGGUUCCCAUUUUCCUCAUUUCUAUUAUUUGUCUUACUCACAGAAGGAAAAAAUGCAAGGAAAAGCCUGAUAUAGGAAAAAAUCACAUUCCAGAUUUGCAGUGGCUAAUUCUGUUUUACUAUUAGAUUGCUAUUAAUUUCUAUUAAAUUUCUUUUUCUCAUACUAGGGCAAAAGGAGGGACAAACCGACCAGCCUCCUUUGCAGAGGAAAGCAGGGCAAGUUUGCUGGCCUGGAUGCAAGCUAGUGGGAACACAGAGGCAGGAACAAUGUGAAUUAGGAGAAAGGGAAAGGGAAAAAAAAACCCAGCAAAAUAUGACAGAGUUGGUUAUGGGGUGGUGGACUGGGAGCAGAAGAGUCUCUCUCAUGGUAACUUUUUUCCCACUGCAGAGAAGAAUUGAAGACAGGAAACCUGUGGCAUUAAAAUAGAGACUUCACAGUUAAAGUCUGUAUGAAAGGCAUGUUCACCAAAUAUUUACAAGCAUUUAACUUUAUGAAUUUAACAGUGAAGGUCUAUUUAUUUUUUUGGUCUGCAACAGGUACGUAGGCACGGGGCCAAAGUAGCAGGUGAAUGGGUACAGUCUCCCAACCUUCCCUGCUCAUGCUUGGUGUUGGAGGAGGAAAAGGGUAGAUAUUCACAGCUGUAGGUGUAAAAAACCCUGCACAAGGUUGCAGUGUCCAUAGCAUAGGUAGAACUCUGCUGAAGGACAGGAGAGGCUGGGUUGCCCACAGGGAAGGGGAGCAUCAGAAAAACAUGACAGAUUGCUGGCUGGAGAGUGCACACAGGUGAGGAGUGGAAAGGUCCCACGUGAGCUAAACCAGGUCAGAGCAUCGUUUGCUGCAUGGGGCUUUCUGCAGCCUUUUUAGCCCUUGCAACUAACAAAAUGCAGCCAGGUAUCCCUGUUUGGCCUCUGCUAAGUGUUCAUACCUCUUUUAAGGUGACCCACCAAAGUACCAGAAGAAAGUCUGAAAGACACAGCCCUGUUUUUGUGCAGUGUAUCAAUUGCACAUUGAAAUCUAACAGGUCCUCAUGGAUAUCAUUUGUACAAUUAAGCCAUAAAUAAUUCAGUAUUUGGCAGUCAAAGACUUCAUCCAUAAUAAUAUGCAGACUUUUUUCUUUUUUUUUCUUCCCAGGAUGCAAAGCAAACAUUUCAUAAACGAUCUCUCAGGUAGACUGUUCUAGCUUUUGUGCAGACACAGAACACCUCUGCAACAAACAAACCAGAGUGGGGAGAUGAUUUUAGAAACCUUAUGUCUUUACUCCUAGACAUAAUAAAUUAGUCAAAAGCAAAGAGUUUUCAUCUGUGUAUUAGCCUCACAUUAGUAGUUGCUUCCUGUAUCAGUUAAAGAAGCAUUAGGAGUUGUCCCUGUUUCCUGCCACAAGACAAAGGUAACGGUGCAAGAAUUUCUGGGAGAUGCCCACAAUCCACAAAAGCAGAGUGUCUAUGGCUGCCCACAGGAGCUCUGAUCUUGCAAAUAUGCAAGCUCAAAACUUCAUGUGGAACUUCACGUAUCCAGCAUUCCUCUCAAUUGAAGAGAAGUGCAAUUGCAGAGGCAGAACUUGAGCUGGCAUAAGUGCUUGUGAUUUAACUCAUCAUUCAGAAUGGAGAAAAAUCCUUAUGCUAUUUUGUAACAGACUAUGGGAAAAUGGAUAUUUCCUCAUCAGUCACUACACAAAUGACUGAAUCCACUGACAGCUUUAAUGUCUCCCUUUCUUUUGCUCUGCUCAUUUUCAGGCUCUCAGCUAAUUUGAUCUUUUGGCAGAGACAAACAUUUCAUUCUCAUGUUCAUGAUACCUAUUUAUUUUUAAAAUGUUGUUAACAUAGUUUCAGCUGUCUCCCUCUGUCUGGCCCUGCCUAAUUGAUGUAAAAAAUAGCUGUUUAAAAUAUUCUUCCUUGAGAAAAGUUGCUAAUUCCCCCCCAGAGAUCUUCUCCUUGUGUCUGCCUCCAGUCAAUUCCACUCAAUUUUGUAAGAAAAAUCUAGCACUGCACCUUCAGUGUGUUUACUUUCCCUUGUAAAACCAUUGCUAACUAAUGUGCUCUGGGAAAAUGAGUUGGAUUCUUCCCAUUUGCAAAUACCAUUAACAAAAUUGUGGACCAAAUUCCAUAUGCAGCUCCAAAUUACACACUCAAUUAGGGCCUGAUCCAAUGCUUAUUAAAGUCACUUGGAAAAUUCCCCCUGAUUUUAAUGGGCUGUAGCCCAGAUCUUAGGAAGUGGACAUUUCCACUGCAGAUGAUCAGUUUAAUCUUUGAGCAUUCUGGAAUUCAUGCAAUGAUAGAUUCAUAGGGCUGGAAAGGACUUCAGAGGUCACAUCUCAAGGCAAGAUCAGCUAAAUUUACAUCUCCCAACAGAUGUCUAACCUGUUCUUGAAGGUCAGUGACUGGGACACUAUGGAUUGUGCUCCCAGGCAGUCUUUUUUGUUAAUUAUCCUUACUCUUAAAAAGUUCUUCAUACCUGCUCUAAAUAAAUUCUUGCUCUGAUCUGCACCCAUUCCUUCCUGUUUUAUUCAAAGUGAAUGAGAGUAGACUAUUUUUUUUCUCAUUCCAAUAGCUUUGAAUGUAUUUGAAGACUAUUACUGAACAUGUGAGACACUCUUUUCUUCCUUAGGCUAAACAACCUUGGUAUUUCAAUCUGUUUUUAUGUUUCAAUCCAUCUGUUUUCUGGAUCUUAGUCAACACAGGUCCUUUCUUCUGGACUCCCUUAACUUAUCCCACAUAUUUUCUGACAGCUAGUGCCCAAAACAGACAAAUCCCUUCAGCACAGGUUUUUAUCAACGCUUUGUAGAGUGGAAGCAGUUCAAGAGUCAGGCACAGCCUCAGCACAGUGCUUGUCUUUCACACGUUGAUAUGGCACUAUUUGCUCACAUUUACCUUGUGACCCAUUAGAACUGAAACUGGGCAUAGUUCAAAAAUAUAAUUUGAGGGCUUCCUGGGACGGCUGGGGAAAUGCUGAGGGCAGAACUAGCAAUGCAGAGCUGCUGUAGAGCAAAUGAGAGGGGGAAUUUGAAUCCCAGUUGCCAGAUGAGUUCUUCAAGCUGAGAUUCAGAAAGACCAUGACAUUGUUUGCAAGAAUAUCAGUUUGAGAAAGAGAGCCUCGCUGAUGAUGUGACAUCCCCCCAGAGUUUGGGGCUGUGCCCUGUUCUUCAUUCACUGCCUCUCACUAUGCUGUUGGUAAGUAUGAACCCAGUCUUACCCAAACUGUGCACACCCCUGAUGCCAGUCCCACCUACUGCACAGCCACGUCUAACAAAGUGUUUGCAUGGGAAAACCUCUAAGUCCUGUUAUCAUAGUAAGGAGAGAUCCAAACUUCUGUUUUUCCUCAGUUUUUCUUAAACAAGAGGUAUGUAGAAGAAUUAGACAGCAUAAAUACUUCUGUCUUCUAAAUCUGCAUAGCAGAAGCUUCUAAGCUUCCUUUGCAUUUACACUCUUUUCUGUAAUUUUUUUACCUCAUUAAAAGGAGAAAAGACAGAAACUUUUGUGGCAUUCACCAUUUUGCAGCCAUUUCCCAUGUCUUGAUUUUUUGCAAGCUGAGACCCAGUUCUUCUGGUUCAUAAGCAGCAGGUGAUUCUGGAAUUACUGAAUUACUGUUUCUGAGAAGUGUGCACUAUGGCUUAAUCUUUGCUUGAUUCAUGAAGAGAAACAGAGAAAGAGUGGAGAUAACAGAGUUAGCAUUCUUCUUCUGUGUUAAGACAGAAGAAGAAAAACCUCUAUUUGCCAGUUUAUCUUCCAGAUCCCAAGGGUAAGAAUGCAUAAACAGAGUGGAACAUUUGUUUUCUUAACAAAGCCCAACAGACCACCAGAUAACAACUUUAAAUAUUGCACUGUAAAUAAAAGAUGUAAUUUAAGAUGCUGUUUUAUGUGCAUCAUAAAGUAAGUCCAGAAAAAACCUGGAGCCAGAGCAGUUGCAGAGCUCUAGUGACAUUUUCACACAUAGGUCAUGUAACCACCUAUUGAAGCCAAUUCCAAUCAGGCAAACCUGCUCUGAGGAGCUUCUCUAGUGCACUUUUUACUUGUUUCUUCUUCAGGCAGUGAUGGUAUUAAAGUCAUGUGGGUUUUAGUGUUGGCAAGAGA